AUUAAUUUAAGAUUGCUGACUUUGUACAUUGCUGUUUAGUGGUAACAACAUUGGUUUCUCUACUCAUGGCCUGACUAAACUUAAAAUCUUGUCUUAUAUUCAUUUUAAGCAGUGAUGAGUAUUAAUUUAAAGGAUCUACCAGUGGAGAAUACUUAAAGGAUCGGGAUACUAAGAUAAAUUUGACUCUUCUCGCUAGUUUGGCUCGGCAGGGAAGAAUGUUUCUUAACCUUCCACUCUCUGAGCCAGAAAUUCAUGGAGAGUCACUUUGCCAAAUGGAGCAUGAAAAUGCCAAAUUCCUUAAUGCUAAAAGAGAGCUCAGUGAUGAAAAUGUCUCUUCAUAUGAGAAACAGCGGAAAUCUUAUGAACAAUUG